AGCACGGAUAGAAAUGGUUGAAAAUCAAUUAUUUGUUACCAGAGAAUCUCCGUUGUAAGUUGUACUGACUGAUCCCUAAAAUGUGCAAAUACGUGAUUCUAAUACUUUUAAUUGUAAUUAUUGCUUCUGUUUGUCAAGCAGCUACAGAAGAUUGUCUUCCAAAUGAAUCGACCUGUGAAAGAGCAGCACAGUGUUGUAGUGUAUUUUGUUCCCAAGCACGUGUUAAUGAAGAAUUAAAGUGUACUACUUCAACGUGGGAAGAUUAAAGCAUGCCUAAACCGUCGAUUUGUCAAAUAGCUGAACCAAAUCGACUCCAUAUUAUUCAAAUAUGUACAUCGUUUAAUUAAUAUAAAGACAAUAUUUUUUUUAUUUUUAAUUUAAAAAGCUAUAAAUUAUAAUUAAUUGUAACAAAAUAUUGUUAUCGG